rnacentral:rRNA from 1 species
UACGUAGGGUGCGAGCGUUGUCCGGAAUUAUUGGGCGUAAAGGGCUCGUAGGCGGUUUGUCGCGUCGGGAGUGAAAACUCAGGGCUUAACCCUGAGCCUGCUUCCGAUACGGGCAGACUAGAGGUAUGCAGGGGAGAACGGAAUUCCUGGUGUAGCGGUGAAAUGCGCAGAUAUCAGGAGGAACACCGGUGGCGAAGGCGGUUCUCUGGGCAUUACCUGACGCUGAGGAGCGAAAGCGUGGGUAGCAAACAGG